CCUACGGGAGGCAGCAGUGGGGAAUAUUGGGCAAUGGGCGCAAGCCUGACCCAGCAACGCCGCGUGAAGGAAGAAGGCCUUCGGGUUGUAAACUUCUUUUAUCAGGGACGAAGCAAGUGACGGUACCGGAGGAAUAAGCCACGGCUAACUACGUGCCAGCGGCAGCGGGAAGACGGAGUUGGCAAUGGUUAUCCGGAUUUACUGGGUGUAAAGGGCGGGGAGGCGGGGGUGGAAGGCAGAUGUGCAAACUAUGGGCUCAACCCAUAGCCUGCAUGUGAAACUGUACUUUUGCAGUGCUGGAGAGGCAAUCGGAAUUCCGUGUGUAGCGGUGAAAUGCGUAGAUAUACGGAGGAACCCCCGUGGCGACGGCGGAUUGCUGGACAGUAACUGACGCUGCGGCGCGAAAGCGUGGGGAGCAAACAGGAUUAGAUACCCCAGUAGUC
rnacentral:rRNA from 1 species